rnacentral:rRNA from 1 species
UACGUAGGGUCCAAGCGUUAUCCGGAAUUACUGGGCGUAAAGCGCGCGUAGGCGGCUUUGUAAGUUAGAGGUGAAAGCCCGGAGCUCAACUCCGGAUCUGCGGUGGGUACGGGCAGACUAGAGUGAUGUAGGGGAGACUGGAAUUCCUGGUGUAGCGGUGAAAUGCGUAGAUAUCAGGAGGAACACCGGUGGUGUAAACGGCUUUCUGGACCAUAACUGACGCUGAGGCACGAAAGCGUGGGUAGCAAACAGG